rnacentral:rRNA from 1 species
UGUUUCAGAGUAUGCGAAUGCCAGAACACCGCGGGUCUGCGAAUGGCUCAUUAAAUUCAGUUAUCACCUACCCAGUGGAGCAUUGAUGGUGACCUUGGUCAAUUCUGCAGAUGCCUUGUGGAUAACCAUUCCAACUGGAUGGCUAAUACAUGAAAGAACAAUGCCGUGUCGAGGUGCUUAUGGCAUCAAGGUCUAUUGAGUGGGGCAACCUGCUCAGCAGAUCUGUGACUGGCAUGCGGUCGAUCGCAACAAAGAGCAGCGUUUCUUAUGGAAACAGUUUGCAUCGAUGAAUCAGAUUGAUCGUGUCAAAUGGCUAAAGCAGAGUGGCUGCAAUGUGUCGCUGCGAUACUGGAUGGAUUCCUGUCCCAUCAGCUGAAGAUUGUGUUGUCUUGGACCACAAUGGCCUUGACGGGUAACGGGGAAUUUGGGUUUGAUUCCGGAGAGGGGGUCUGAAAGACGGCCACCACUGCUAAGGCAGGCAGCAGGCACGAAAAUUGCCCAUUGCAAGCACAUUUGUGAGGCAGCGACGAAGAAUGGCAACAGUGCACAUGGAUCUCCAUGAGUGUUGUUCGCAAUGGAUGACAAUCAAACUACUCAGUGAGUAUCAACUGGAGGGCAAGUCUGGUGCCAGCAGCCGCGGUAAUUCCAGCUCCAGCAGUGUAUACAAACAUUGCUGCUGUUAAAACGCUCGUAGUUGAUUGCAGAGUGGGUGGGCUUGCCAGCUAUCAGCUGGUCAGGUUCACCUAUGGGUGGCUAUACAAGCUCUGCUUGUCCCUGGCCAGUUCAACUGUCUCACUGCUCGCCUGACAUGGAAUUGGUUCCUCUCGUUGGCAUAUUCUUCAGUGAUUAUGAGAACAGCCUCCACACACAAAGCAUGUGAUCCUGGGGCUCUCGAAUUGGAGGCGUCCGUGGUGUUUACCAUGAACCAAACAGCACGCCCACGGUGGCCGACCUGUUCGGAUGAAUGACAAAGCAUGGAAUGAAAAGGGAUCGACCAAGGAGUUGUCGUUUCUKCCUGUUCUUCAGCACUCUGUGGGAAAUGCGAGGUCAGACGCAGUUCCCUCAGCAGCUUCAGCAUGGGUCAAGGCAGUGGAUGCGUGCCAGUGCCCAGUGUGCUGUCUCCAUCCACUGUGUUGAACUCUCUGUUCUGCCGGUACUGCUGUCUACCAUCGAUCGGUUGUGAUGAGCAUUCUCUGGGCCUUUCAUACCGGUUGGUUAGAGGUGAAAUUCUUGGAUCCACCUGUGAUGAACGGCAGCGAAGGCGUUAUCUUUGCAAGUGGCUGACUGUCGAUCAAGAACGAGAGUGUGGGGAUCGAAGAUGAUCAGAUACCGUCGUAGUCCAUUUCUGUAAACGAUGCCAGCUCGGUUUGGGGCAUGAUAUCUUUCAAGGACGUCAUGCUCUGAGCCUCCUUACCGAGAAAUCCACAAAGCGUUUGGGUUCAGGGGGGAGUACAUUCGCAAGAACGAAACUUGAAGGAAUUGACGGAAUGACACCACAAGGCGUGGAGUCUGCGGCUUAAUUUGACUCAACCCGGGGAAUGUUACCAGGUCAUGACGCAGCGAUGAUGGACAGAUUGAGAGCUCUUUCUUGAUCCUUUGGAUGGUGGUGCAUGGCCGUUCCUGGUUCGUGGAGUGAUCUGUCUGGUUGAUUCUGAUAACGAGCGAGAUCUCUGCCUUUUCAUAGUUGCCAGCCUCGAUCUGUAGAGCAAUCUGUUCAUCUGUGGCAUCAGCAAGGGGCAACCUGAGUUGGUGUCAAAUGGGUGUUCAGUCAUUGCUCGAGAGGCAGGAAUCACUUCUCAGAGGAUCCACAUGCGUUCAAGCAUGUGUAAGCAAGAGGCGACAGCAGGUCUGUGAUGCCCCUAGAUGUUCUGGGCUGCACGCGCACGACAAUGGUGCUGACGGCACGCCUGACCAGUUCACCUUGUGUGUCUGGUCGCCUGUGUCGACAGGCAAUGGGAACCCUUCCAACUGGCGCCGUGAUUGGAAUCGAUGUUUGCAACUGUUUGUCUUGAACGAGGAAUGCCUAGUAUGCGCAGCUCAUCAGACUGCACAGAUUGAGUCCCUGCCAUUUGUACACACCGCCCGUCGUUCCUACCGAUGGUGAGAUGAUAGAGGUUUCAGAAUCUGAUUCAUGUGUGGUGUUGAGGGCUUGCUCUCAGCAUUGCCUGAUGAGGUGAAUUUGAACCAAUGAUCUCCUGCUAGAGGAAGGAAAA